AGCCAUUCCCCUGCUGCCAGCGAACCGUCAGCAGCUCGCAGCGAACCCUUGUCACCUGGUCCAAGACCACCCUUCACCCUGCUCCCAUUGGAGUGUUUUCAGGUGAUCCCUGCUCUGUCCGUCAGUCCUGACUCUGCCUGCAGUCGGGUCUUGUGAUCCAUCCCAGCAGGAUGGGCAACCUCCUCCCCGUGAAGGCUCAGAGAGACAGCGAAGAAGAGAUGGAGGUGGACCCUCAGGCAGAUAUGGAUGAGAUGAUGGAUGUGGAUGUUGAAGAGAGAGUUGAAGAGAUGGAGGUGGAGAUGGAAGCUGAUGUGGAAGAGAUGGAAGUAGAUCAGGAAGAUGAGGUGGAAGACAUGAUCUUGGGAUAAGGACACAGCACCCUAUCAUCAGCAGGACUGACGGACCUGCCGGCCAUGGAAUUGGCCACUCUGUACAUAGGCUUUGCAAGGUACUUCCUGGUUUUUUGUACAUACGUUCUACAUUUUUGAUAUUUUAAGAAAAUAUUUGUUUCUAUAAAGAAGAUAGUUAUUUUAAUAAGAAAUAGAUUUUUUUAUGAGAAGAUAGAUUAAUUAAGAAGAUAAUUUCUUAUAAGAAGAUAGUUUAUUAAGAAGAUAGUUUUUUAU